UUUAGCCGGUGCGGGAGGGAGGUGGGUCUUGGAGCCGCGCAGAGGGGUGGGGGUGGCCGCCACUUGACAAGGCGCACUAAUGAGCAGCACUGGACACGUUUACGAGGGUAGAAUCGUACUUACGUGGCCAUUUAAAACAACAACAACAACGCACAACCCGGGCUGCGCGAAAGGAAGGGUCUCAUCAGCCAGGGAUGUCUGCCUGGCCCUGGGCGCCAGCCCCCGGGCAAUGGGGAAGGCAGGCCUGGGCGGGCUCGCUGACCCCUGGUUUCCCGCAGCACCAGGGCUCUGAGGUGCUCUGAAGGGCCCCGUCGCGCCGUUCCUGUAGGGCAGCCUGGCCUUGCCCCUCUGCUGCUGUCUGCAGCGAGGAUACCUUUGCCUGCGGACCCCUUGCCCUCCAACUCCUAGCCUGCCAUUGUGGGCCCCACUUGUUUCCCCUUCUCCUUGCCCUCAUCUCCUCUCCACACUGGGCUCUCGGGAGGCCAUUCUCUCCUCCCAGAGCGAUCAGUGUAAAUGGCACCACCUCUGUGCAGGCAUUUGGAGCCAUCAUCCUGGCUGAGGACACCACCAUUUCCCAUCCGGACGACUGACCAGGAGCUCUCUGAGUCUGUCUCAUCCAGUCCACUCUCCAUGCAGCACCAAGGAGCCGGCCCAGCCUCUUCGCCUGUCUCUGGCCUUCCUGCGCAGCCCAUCAGUUCUCUGAGCCAUCACAUCCGUUUCCAUCUUGGGAUCUCUGCACAGGCCGUUCCUACCACUGGGGAUGCUCUGCUCCCUUCUCACUGCUGGCUCCUUUUCCUGGGGCUCAGCUUCAAGCAAUAGGCCUCUGCCCGCUCCCCCAUGUCCCCCUUCUCUCUAGCUAAGCCCUUGCUCUGGGUUAGUCACAGCACUUAGCACCACUCAACAUUAUUCCACACGUGUGUGCAUUUAUUCAGCGGGCGUCUUCACCACUAGUAUGUCAGCUCCUGAGCACAGGGACCAUGGCUGUUUUGUUUGUUGCUGUAUCCCUGUGCCUCACACAGGCCUGGCCCUCAGUAGAGGGUAGUACAUGUGUUCAGUGGGUAGAUGUGUGAUCCAAAUGAAGAUGAGCUGCCUCCAAGUCACUACAUUUCUCGUAGAAUCCACACUCUACCCCAGACCUGCCCAGCCUCUUCACCUGUCUCUGGCUCAUAGCCCCACCCUUCCCUGGACAAGAGCUGCCCCCCACCCUGUUCCGACAGAACAACAAAAGAACCCAGCACAGCUAUUCUCUUCCUUGCCUUUCGCCCCCUCCUGGAUGUCCCUCUCUUUCACCCCAGUGUAAGUCAGCAUAGCCUCACAGCUUCUCCACCUCCCCUCUGCCUCACACCAUUACCUGAGCAGCCCAACCGGAACAGGAGAUAGACACCAAAGCUCUCUGGAUGGCCAGGAAAGGAAGCUGUGAUUAUGCAGUCUUGUCUGCCCCGACCCCUACGUCUGUAGAGUCUUAUGGCCUUGAGGUCUUUGGAGCAAGGCCCUGGGGAGAGGGAGACAGACUCUUUAGGUCUCUCUGUCUCUCUCUCUCUCUGUCUCUCUCUCUCUCUCUCUGUCUCUCUCUCUCUCGCACGCACGCGCGCGCUUGUCAAAAGUCGGAAUCUGCCCUUCUGAAGGGCUCAGACAACAGAAAGGAGGCUAGAGCAGGAGUCAGGAGGCCUGUUUCUAGUCUGUGAUCCAACACGGAUUCGCUGUGUGACUUUGUGUAAGUCCUCCCUGGCUCUGAGGCUGUUGGUGGCAUGAGAUGCUCACUGCGGUGCCCCGGCUUCCCUGUGCCCCUCAUCUGGCCGUAGCUCUGGAGAGGAGCUGUCAUUGGCUGUCUUUAUUUUUGUUAAUCCUCACCCGAGGAUAUUUUUUCCAUUGAUUUUUAGAGAGA